GACCUCUACAGUUGCCAUAGCCAAACGUCACUUUGGAGCGAAAGUUUUCAAACGGCUCCUUUGAGGAAGACAUGAGGGCCGAAAUGUUGUCGUUUCCGCAUAACAGUGUACAAUUUAGCCAGCUGUUUUGAAAUAGAGCGUUUUGUGGACUGUUCACAGUCCCUGGUCUAAAGAUGGAAGGCUUGGAAAUGUCCGCUAUGAUACCUGCACUGCAGGAGCUAGCGAGUGCCACCGCAGAGGAAUACAACAAGGUGGUUCAGAAGCCUCGUCAGAUUCUCUGUCAGUUCAUUGACCGAAUACUGACAGACGUAGAUGUCGUUGCGUUGGAGCUGUCUAAGAGGUCCAGUUCAGAGCCAGCGUGUGUGAUGCUGUUGGACUUUGUUCAGCACAUUAUAAAGUCUUCCUCUCUGAUGUUUGUCAACCCUGCCUGUCAGCUGGCCCACUUCACAGACACACAGCAGAGCAGCACCGAGUUCAGUAGGUGGGUUGUCGGCAGGUUGCUGCGAGUCGCCGCAUCGCCAAGCUGUGACGUCAUCCAUGGGCGUGUCUCGGCCGUGCUCUGCUCCCUACUGCACGCACUCAGACCGCGAGCACCAAUCACCUUCAACGUCAUCGCCAAAGAGAUGCUUGGAUUGGCCCAGGACCUCAGCAAUCUGCUCUACACACACACACACUCACACACCCCAGGAACACAUAAACACUCUACAAACACACACACCUUGUGGCCGGUAACCCUGCAGUCUUUCUCUGUCUCUCUCACCCCUUAUCUCACCCCCUCACCCCUCCUCCUCCCCUCGCCUGCCGCCUUGGAAACCCUGGUUGCGGUGACAGUGAACGUUCUAACUGACGCCCUCAGGGGAUUGGCCAGCCGCAGGGAGAUGGGGGUGGCUUGGGAGGCAGGCUGUUUGGUCGUGGCCUAUGGGAGUGCUCGGUUAAGGAAGGUUGCUAUGGUGAUGCUGAGGCGGUUGGCGGAGAUUGGUGGGUUCCCGGAGAGGCGGAGUCAGGAGUUUUUUACAGCGUACCUGACGCUGCUGGACACACACACACCUGAGCCAGAGACAUAUGGGGGAGAGCUGCUGAAGCUGACGCAGUGUGUGUUUGGAUCUGCGCACACACCUGCUCACACACACACACGGUUUGAGCGUACCCACCUGGCCCAGCUGUUGGAACGUGUGUGUGUUCUGGCAGGGGCGGGCUUAGUUCUGGAAUCAGAGGUCAGCCAAUCGCUGAGCUUUGUCUUUAACUUCCUGUUGUCCGUUCCACCGGGAUAUGAGAGCGCCCCGUCUCUACGGAAACAGAGAGUCACUGAUGUCUGCAGAACCCUCACACACUCCAUCGGGAUGGAGAAACAGUCUGAGUGUGUGCAGGGGUUUCUUUACACUGCCCUGAAGGCUGAGGUUGCCGUGGUGAUGCAAGAGAGGGAGGAUGGAGAAACGGCUGCUAAGCGACCCUGUCUACCCAUCACCCCCCUGGCCAGCAAGACCCCCAAAACUUCCCCGAUGGAGGUGGACAUGCGUGUGCGUAGUGAGGUGUGGGCGGCAGUGACCAGCAGGCUGGAUGACCUUCUGGCCUCUCUGGUGAACUGUGACCUUGACCUGACGACCCCUGAGCCUGACACUGACCCUCAGAUGACCCUGAGAGCUCUGGAGGGACUCGCUCUCAUCCUGCACCUGGCUGGCCUCUGUUACACACACACCAGGUAUCUCACACACACCCAGAAGGUAACACACCCCACAUCAUCUCUCACACAGAUCUUUCCAUCUCUGUCUCUCUCCUCCAGCUCCUCCUCUCUCCUGUGGCUGUCUGCCUCCACUCUGGGCAGGGCUUUGGAAACCUGUCAAUCACUACUGGGCGGGGCUAAGUCUACCACUGACCACGCCCAUAUACAGUCUGCCAUCCAGGUGGCUGUCAGAAUACUGGACUCCAUCAUCUACCUGACAAUGAGUAGCCCGGCUGAGGACAGUGGUCUCCAGAGUAGUGUGUGCACGUUGCUGUCUGUGCCAUGGGUGUGUGAGCUGUCGUCUGUCCCAGCCUAUCAGAAGGCAGGAUUCCCCCCCAGCCUCCCCGACUUGGCUAAGAGACUGUCUCCCUGCUACUCCCCCCAGGUCCAGGCGGAGUGUGUGUUGCUGCUGUCUCUGCUGCGUGGGGAUGUGUGUGUGUCGUGGCGUGUGUCUGUGUGUUCCCAGGCCCUGGAGAGUCACCAUGAGGUGGUCAGGGCCAGCGCUGUCAGGAGCUUUCCUCUACUACUGCACCACGUGGGACACACACACCACAACCUCACACACACCACCUUAAUGAGUGUCCUGGAGGACAGCUCAGAGCAGGUGAGGGCAGAGCUAGCUGGUAUUUCUGGUCAGCUGACCUGCGUCCUGUCGGGGAGCUCCAAAUUAACUGUCAAUCACAAGGAACCCCUCCCACUACCCAUGAUCCUUUGCUCCCGCCUCGGCCUUGCAGCUGAGCAUGCUGGGAAGGGCACUCCCAUUGGAGCAUCCGUCAUCAAGCCCGUCCUACCUCUGCUACGACCGAGCAGCAGCAGUGUUGCCAAAAGAGCGUUCCUAGAUGCUCUGCCGCACCUCUGCCAGCAUGUCAACCUUGGAGGCAGAGACAGUGACUCUCUGGCCAUUCUGAGAGAUCUGAUUGGCCUAAUAGAAGACCCAGACCCGUCAGUCAGAACACUCUUCAGCCAAUCAGUUCGCUUCCUGCUGUCGGAGCCCACCUCCGAACCCGACCAGGAUCCAGUCAAGGAGCUGCUGGUGUCUCGUGUGAAGGAGGCGUUCAGUAAGGCUAAACUCAACAGAGACGACGAGCUACGCAGCACACUCAUACUGACCACUGGAGAGAUUGGCAGGGCUGCUAAAGGUAGCUUGGUGUCGUUCUCUCUCUUGAGGUUACUGCACUGUCUCCUGUCCAAGUCGUCUCCUGUCUCUGUGUCCGCCUACACACAGAUCACUGCCCUGGCCACAGCUAGAGGACUCAAACUACAGACACUGUUCAGCCAGUACAAGAACCCUGUCUGCCAGUUCCUGGUAGAGUCUCUCCACUCGCGUCACGUCAGCGCCCUGCGGAGCACGCCAGAGCAAGGUAGCCAGCUAACCAAUCAGAGAGAAGUAGCUCUGGACAUCCUGUCUCAGGUCGCCCACGCCUUUGACUUCCCUGACCUGCACCGCUUCCUCACGAGGACUCUCCAGGUGCUCCUCCCCUACCUGGCUGCGAAGGCCAGCACCACAGGCUCCGCCCUCAUCAGGACGCUGGCCAAUGAGAUGAAAGCGAACCGGCGUGAGAUCCUGAUCAACAACUUUAAGUACAUCUUCAGCCACCUGGUGUGUUCCUGCACUAAGGAGGAGCUGGAGAGAGCCUUCCACUACCUCCAGAGAGAGACGGAGAUAGAACUGGGCUCUCUGCUGAGGCAGGACUUCCAGGGCCUGCACAACGAGCUGCUGCUACGCCUGGGAGAACACUACCAACAAGUGUUUAAUGGUCUGGCCAUCCUGGCCUCAUUUGCCUCCAAUGACGACCCGUACCAGGGACCCCGUGACAUCACCACCCCGGAACACAUGGCUGAUUACCUCCAGCCCAAGCUGCUGGGCAUCCUGGCCUUCUUCAACAUGCAGCUGCUGAGCUCCAGUGCUGGGGAGAAGGACGGUAAGAAGAUGGCCCUGACCAGCCUGAUGGCCCUGAUGAAGCUGAUGGGCUCCAAACACACCAGCUCAGUCCGAGUCAAGAUGAUGACCACACUACGGACUGGACUACGAUACAGACAGGACUUCCCUCUGCUCUGCUGCCAGACGUGGGACUGUUUUGUGCGUACGGUAGAGCCCGCCCACCUGGGGCCGUUGCUCAGUCAUGUGAUCGUGGCGCUUCUUCCGCUGAUACCACUCCAGCCCAGAGAGACUGCUGCUAUAAUACAUUACCUCAUACUGGACAACAGGGAAGAGGUGCAGGACUAUCUCCAUGAAAUCUACUUCCUGCCAGACCACCCUGAACUCAAAGACAUACACACUGUCCUGCAGGACUACAAGAAGUUGACGUCCAGGACCAGCGACCUGGCUGCAGGCCUGCAGCUCUCCAUGAGGGCUGUCCAACACGAGAACCUGGACGUCAGAGUUCACGCUCUGACCAGCCUCAAGGACAUGAUGCACAGCAACCAGGAGUGGUUACUACGACAGGUGUGUGCGUCGGAGGCGGUAGAGCCUGUCAUCUCCUCAUUAGUCUCAGUGUUACUGCGAGGUUGUCAGGACUCUUCCCCAACGGCCAGGCUGCUGUGUGGGGAGUGUCUGGGGGAGCUGGGGGCCGUGGACCCUGGACGGCUGGACCUCUCUCACACACAGACACACGGCAGCAGCAACACCUUCGUGAGUGGGGUGGAGGAGAGUAACUUUGCCUAUGAACUACUGACGGAGCUGACCAGGACUUUCUUGGCGUAUGCUGAUGAUGUCAGAGCACAGGACUCGGCAGCCUAUGCAAUGCAGGAGCUGCUGUCUAUAUUUGAGUGUCGUGAGGGCCGUAGUGACUCCCCUGGUCGACGGCUGUGGAGGAGAUUCCCUGAACAAGUCCAAGAGAUACUGGAGCCUCACCUCAACAGCAGGUAUAAGAGCAGUCAAAAGGUGGUGAACUGGUCCAAGGUGAAGAAACCUGUCUACCUCAGCAGCCGAGGAACCAAGUUCUCUGAUUGGUCAGCUACCUGGGCCGGAUACCUCAUCAGCAAGGUGAGACAUGAGUUGGCCAGCAAGGUAUUCACCUGUUGCAGUUUCAUCAUCAAACACGACUACAAAGUCACCAUCUACCUGCUGCCCCAUAUACUGCUUUACAUGCUGAUGGGCUGCACUGCUGUGGAACAAGGAGAGGUAACAGAGGAAAUGCUGGCUGUGCUCACAGAGGGUGAUGGGCGUGGUGGGCGUGUCCAGGAGGCCUCAUCUAGCCUUUCACAGCUCAGUACUCAGAACCAGGAAGCAACGUCCAGCCUGUCACAGCUGAGCACCCAGACUGUGUUCAGUAUGCUGGCUCACCUCACCCAGUGGAGCCGACACACACUGUCGGCUAGAAUCAAACACAGCGAAAGUGGUGACUACCAGCGAGUGGUAGCGUUUCUAAAAGGGAUCCCUCAGGACGUGUUAGCCAAGGCCUCUCUACGGUCUAAAGCCUACACCAGAGCCCUGAUGCACUUUGAGGCUUACAUACUGGAGAACAAAGAGAACAUCCAGGAUCAUCUGAGCUUCCUACAGACGCUGUACGCGGCCAUGCACGAACCGGACGGUGUGAGGGGUGCGAACGCUCUCCGGCGGGAAGAGCCGUCCCUACGGGAACAGAUUCUAGAACACGAGAGCAUCGGGUUGCUAAGAGACGCUACAGCCUGCUACGACCGGGCCAUACAGCUGGAGUCCGACCAGAUCGGACACUACCAUGGGGUGAUGAGUUCUAUGCUGGGGCUGGGACAGCUCUCUACUGUCGUCACACAGGUCAAUGGAGUCCUGGCCAACAGGCCCCAGUGGAAGUCUGAUCUGAACACCUACAGGGUGGAAGCUGCCUGGAAGCUCAGCAAGUGGGACCUGCUGGAGGACUACCUGGGCUCUGAUCGUAAGUCCAGCACGUGGGGUGUGAGGCUGGGUCAGAUGCUGCUCGCGGCUAAGCGGCGCGACGCAGAGACAUUCUACGACAAACUGAAGCUGGUCAGGACAGAGCAGGUGGUGCCUCUAGCUGCUGCUAGCUAUGAGACUGGGACCUACCAGAGAGGAUACGAAUACAUCGUCAGGCUCCACAUGCUGAGUGAGUUGGAGCAUGCCUUCACCGACCUCCAGAGACAGAGAGAAGGCCACGCCCCUAGCUCAGCCACGCUGCCCUCCCAUUGGCCAGAUCGGCUGGAGAUGACCCAGAAUUCUUUCCGCGCCAAAGAGCCAAUCCUGGCCCUGCGGCGAGCCCUGCUGAGCAUCGGCUCAGGUGUGUGUGAGGGGCUGGUCGGGGAGUGCUGGUUGCAGAGUGCCCGGGUGGCCAGGAAGGCAGGACAUCACCAGACAGCCUUCAACGCUCUUCUGAACGGACAGAACACACACACUGCCGAAUUACUGACAGAGAAGGCCAAGUGGCUAUGGUCCAAGGGAGAUGUCCACCAGGCGUUGAUAGUUCUCCAGAAGGGAGUGACUCAGUGUUUCCCUGUCGACCAGCCUCUCUCAGACCAGAGGAGUCUACAGACCAAAGGUAAAGCCAUGCUUCUGGUGGGACGCUUCAUGGAGGAGACAGCCAACUUUGAGUCCAACGCCAUCAUGAAGGCCUACAGGGACGUGACCACCCUGCUACCAGAGUGGGAGGACGGUAACUUCUACCUGGCUAAAUACUAUGACAAGUUGAUGCCCAUGGUGACAGACAACAAGCUGGAGAAACAGGGAAACCUCAUACGAUACAUCGUCACCUACUUUGGAAAAGCUCUGCAGUUUGGGAACCAGUACAUCUAUCAGGCCAUGCCUCGGAUGCUGUCUCUCUGGCUGGACUUCGGGGCCAAAGUCUACGAGUCUGAGAAAGCGGGUAGAGUGGAGCGGCAGUUGCGCGUGGAGCUUGGGAAGAUCAAUCAGGUGGUCAGCGACCACUGCACCAGCCUGGCUCCGUACCAGUUCCUCACAGCUUUCUCCCAGCUCAUCUCCAGGGUGUGCCACAGCAGUGAGGACGUCUUCAACGUCCUCAUGGACAUCGCUGCCAAGGUGCUGCUGGCCUACCCUCAGCAGGCCAUGUGGUUGAUGACCGCAGUGUCCAAGUCGUCCUACCCUACCCGUAUGAACCGCUGUAAGGAGAUCCUGAGGAAGGCUGUCAGUCUGAAGGAGAGUCUGGGGAAGUUCAUAGGAGAUGCCAACAGACUGACUGACAAACUACUGGAGCUCUGCAACAAGCCGGUGGAUGGUAGCAGCAGUACUCUCAGUAUGGGGGUCCAUUUCUCUCUAUCUCUGUAUUCCAGGUGGAUGGUAGCAGCAGUACUCUCAGUAUGGGGGUCCAUUUCUCUCUCUCUCUGUAUUCCAGGUGGAUGGUAGCAGCAGUACUCUCAGUAUGCGGUCCAUUUCUCUCUCUCUCUGUAUUCCAGGUGGAUGGUAGCAGCAGUACUCUCAGUAUGGGGUCCAUUUCUCUCUCUCUCUGUAUUCCAGGUGGAUGGUAGCAGCAGUACUCUCAGUAUGGGGUCCAUUUCUCUCUCUCUCUCUCUCUGUAUUCCAGGUGGAUGGUAGCAGCAGUACUCUCAGUAUGGGGUCCAUUUCUCUCUCUCUCUGUAUUCCAGGUGGAUGGUAGCAGCAGUACUCUCAGUAUGGCGUCCAUUUCUCUCUCUCUCUCUCUCUGUAUUCCAGGUGGAUGGUAGCAGCAGUACUCUCAGUAUGGGGUCCAUUUCUCUCUCUCUCUCUGUAUUCCAGGUGGAUGGUAGCAGCAGUACUCUCAGUAUGGGGGUCCAUUUCUCUCUCUGUAUUCCAGGUGGAUGGUAGCAGCAGUACUCUCAGUAUGGGGUCCAUUUCUCUCUCUCUCUGUAUUCCAGGUGGAUGGUAGCAGCAGUACUCUCAGUAUGGGGUCCAUUUCUCUCUCUCUCUCUCUGUGUAUUCCAGGUGGAUGGUAGCAGCAGUAUUCUCAGUAUGGGGUCCAUUUCUCUCUCUGUAUUCCAGGUGGAUGGUAGCAGCAGUACUCUCAGUAUGGGGUCCAUUUCUCUCUCUCUCUCUCUCUCUCUGUAUUCCAGGUGGAUGGUAGCAGCAGUACUCUCAGUAUGGGGUCCAUUUCUCUCUCUCUGUAUUCCAGGUGGAUGGUAGCAGCAGUACUCUCAGUAUGGGGUCCAUUUCUCUCUCUCUCUCUCUCUGUAUUCCAGGUGGAUGGUAGCAGCAGUACUCUCAGUAUGGGGGUCCAUUUCUCUCUCUGUAUUCCAGGUGGAUGGUAGCAGCAGUACUCUCAGUAUGGGGUCCAUUUCUCUCUCUCUCUCUCUCUCUCUCUGUAUUCCAGGUGGAUGGUAGCAGCAGUACUCUCAGUAUGGGGUCCAUUUCUCUCUCUCUCUAUCUCUGUAUUCCAGGUGGAUGGUAGCAGCAGUACUCUCAGUAUGGUGGUCCAUUUCUCUCUCUCUCUGUGUAUUCCAGGUGGAUGGUAGCAGCAGUACUCUCAGUAUGGGGUCCAUUUCUCUCUCUCUCUGUAUUCCAGGUGGAUGGUAGCAGCAGUACUCUCAGUAUGGGGUCCAUUUCUCUCUCUCUCUCUCUCUCUCUGUCUCGCUGUCUCUCUGUCUCUCUGUCUCUCUGUCUCUGUGUAUUCCAGGUGGAUGGUAGCAGCAGUACUCUCAGUAUGGGGUCCAUUUCUCUCUCUCUCUCUGUAUUCCAGGUGGAUGGUAGCAGCAGUACUCUCAGUAUGGGGUCCAUUUCUCUCUCUCUCUCUGUAUUCCAGGUGGAUGGUAGCAGCAGUACUCUCAGUAUGGGGUCCAUUUCUCUCUCUCUCUCUGUAUUCCAGGUGGAUGGUAGCAGCAGUACUCUCAGUAUGGGGUCCAUUUCUCUCUCUGUAUUCCAGGUGGAUGGUAGCAGCAGUACUCUCAGUAUGGGGUCCAUUUCUCUCUCUCUCUCUGUAUUCCAGGUGGAUGGUAGCAGCAGUACUCUCAGUAUGGGGGUCCAUUUCUCUCUCUCUCUGUAUUCCAGGUGGAUGGUAGCAGCAGUACUCUCAGUAUGGGGUCCAUUUCUCUCUCUCUCUGUAUUCCAGGUGGAUGGUAGCAGCAGUACUCUCAGUAUGGGGUCCAUUUCUCUCUCUGUAUUCCAGGUGGAUGGUAGCAGCAGUACUCUCAGUAUGGGGGUCCAUUUCUCUCUCUCUGUAUUCCAGGUGGAUGGUAGCAGCAGUACUCUCAGUAUGGGGGUCCAUUUCUCUCUCUCUGUAUUCCAGGUGGAUGGUAGCAGCAGUACUCUCAGUAUGGGGUCCAUUUCUCUCUCUGUAUUCCAGGUGGAUGGUAGCAGCAGUACUCUCAGUAUGGGGGUCCAUUUCUCUCUCUGUAUUCCAGGUGGAUGGUAGCAGCAGUACUCUCAGUAUGGGGUCCAUUUCUCUCUCUGUAUUCCAGGUGGAUGGUAGCAGCAGUACUCUCAGUAUGGGGUCCAUUUCCUCUCUCUCUCUCUCUGUAUUCCAGGUGGAUGGUAGCAGCAGUACUCUCAGUAUGGGGUCCAUUUCUCUCUCUCUCUCUCUGUAUUCCAGGUGGAUGGUAGCAGCGGUAUUCUCAGUAUGGGGUCCAUUUCUCUCUCUCUCUCUCUCUCUCUCUGUAUUCCAGGUGGAUGGUAGCAGCAGUACUCUCAGUAUGGGGUCCAUUUCUCUCUAUCUCUGUAUUCCAGGUGGAUGGUAGCAGCAGUAUUCUCAGUAUGGGGUCCAUUUCUCUCUCUAUCUCUGUAUUCCAGGUGGAUGGUAGCAGCAGUACUCUCAGUAUGGGGUCCAUUUCUCUCUCUGUAUUCCAGGUGGAUGGUAGCAGCAGUACUCUCAGUAUGGGGUCCAUUUCUCUCUCUCUAUCUCUGUAUUCCAGGUGGAUGGUAGCAGCAGUACUCUCAGUAUGGGGUCCAUUUCUCUCUCUCUAUCUCUGUAUUCCAGGUGGAUGGUAGCAGCAGUACUCUCAGUAUGGGGUCCAUUUCUCUCUCUAUCUCUGUAUUCCAGGUGGAUGGUAGCAGCAGUACUCUCAGUAUGGGGUCCAUUUCUCUCUCUCUCUCUGUAUUCCAGGUGGAUGGUAGCAGCAGUACUCUCAGUAUGGGGUCCAUUUCUCUCUCUAUCUCUGUAUUCCAGGUGGAUGGUAGCAGCAGUAUUCUCAGUAUGGGGUCCAUUUCUCUCUCUCUCUGUAUUCCAGGUGGAUGGUAGCAGCAGUACUCUCAGUAUGG